rnacentral:rRNA from 1 species
AUUGAACGCUGGUGGCAUGCUUAACACAUGCAAGUCGAACGGUAGCAUGAUGUGUAGCAAUACACAUUGAUGACGAGUGGCGGACGGGUGAGUAAUGUAUAGGAAUCUGCCUUAUUGAGGGGGAUAGCUCAGGGAAACUUGAGGUAAUACCGCGUAAGACCGGAAGGUGAAAGGGGGGAGUUUACUCCUCUCGCGAUAAGAUGAGCCUAUAUUGGAUUAGCUAGUAGGUGAGGUAAAAGCUCUACCUAGGCGACGAUCCAUAGCUGUUCUGAGAGGAAGGACAGCCACACUGGGACUGAGACACGGCCCAGACUCCUACGGGAGGCAGCAGUGGGGAAUAUUGGACAAUGGGCGCAAGCCUGAUCCAGCGAUGCCACGUGUGCGAAGAAGGCCUUAGGGUUGUAAAGCACUUUAGUGAGGGAGGAAGUUGAGCUGGUUAAUACCUGGUUUAAUUGACAGUACCUCAAGAAUAAGCACCGGCAAACUCUGUGCCAGCAGCCGCGGUAAUACAGAGGGUGCAAGCGUUAAUCGGAAUUAUUGGGCGUAAAGGGCUUGUAGGCGGUAGGAUAAGUUAGAUGUGAAAACCCUGGGCUCAACCUGGGGCUGGCAUUUAAUACUGUUCUGCUAGAGUAUAGGAGAGGAGAAGGGAAUUUCUGGUGUAGCGGUGAAAUGCGUAGAUAUCAGAAGGAACAUCAGUGGCGAAGGCGCUUCUCUGGCCUAAUACUGACGCUGAGGAGCGAAGGCGUGGGGAUCAAACAGGAUUAGAUGCCCUGGUAGUCCACGCGGUAAACGAUGAAUACUAGCCGCUGGGUCGUAAGACUAAGUGGCGCAGCU